UUUUAGUUGUUUGUGUUUAAUGUGUCCUAGCUGAAUGCAUUUUUUUUAUUUUGUCUAGUUGCUGCUGAUUUUUAAGAUGUCUUAAACUCCAUUUUUGUUGAUUUUAAUUGUGCAGCUACAUACAUUAGAUGGCAAUUACAUGGGGCUAAUGGUUUAUUUUGCUAAACAUCUAUUCAUGUACAGCAAAGGACACAUGAAGAGCUACUGUCUUUCUUCUUCCCAGUGCUGACCAUUUAGCUCUCCAAGCACCUUUGAAAGCUUUCACAUUGCUUG
rnacentral:lncRNA from 1 species